UACUCGAGUGACGAACGGGUGAGUAACACGUGGGUGAUCUGCCCUGCACUUCGGGAUAAGCUUGGGAAACUGGGUCUAAUACCGGAUAGGAGCCAUCUUUAGUGUGGUGGUUGGAAAGUUUUUCGGUGUAGGAUGAGCUCGCGGCCUAUCAGCUUGUUGGUGGGGUAAUGGCCUACCAAGGCGGCGACGGGUAGCCGGCCUGAGAGGGUGUACGGCCACAUUGGGACUGAGAUACGGCCCAG
rnacentral:rRNA from 1 species